UGAUACUUUUAGCGCUAGAGGCCUGAUCUUUCUGUAAGUAGUGAGUGUGGGUUUUGUCUGUAGAGGUCUCUGAUCGACACCAUUUCUAUCUGUAAAUGGGUGUUGAAUUCUUCAUUUCAUCCAUCGUGAAACCUUAUCCUGAGACAGCAAACGUCUUCUAAGUUCAUCUGUCCUUUUCUCCCCCCUACAGCUGAAAUUUUGAGUCAUGUCUUUGUUUUCCAGUGCCAGAACUACAACGGUUCUUUACAUCCCUAAAGCAGGUUGCAGCUUGUAAAGAAUGCUUGAAAACCUGUGCUCAAGUUUACAUUUUUUCCCAAAGCCAUUUCAAGAUGCCUGCCUUUUUAAAAACCAGUUGCCCACAGCCUUGGCAUUUUGUACCCAGACAUAGUCCAGUCCUAAUCAGAAUGGCUAGGACAAUGAGGAAACACAAGCUAGCAAGCAUGGCCAUGAAGAGAACACAAUGAGGAGCCCAACUCGACAGCCAUAUUGAGAAGAAAGCUGACUAGAAAUGAUGACUUGACCAGAGACAUUUGAGUAACUAAGUCUGUGUACCACCUGAAACUAGCAUUUAUCAGGUUGUAAGGUUGCUAAUAUUUACAUGUACCUUGCUUCAUUAUUAGUAUUAUUUUAUGAAUAUUAUCAAUAACUAG